AGGGGCAGUCAUCGCUGCAGCUCUGAUGGCUUGGUGGCUUUCAGCACACUCUGUGCCUUUCUCAUGUAGCUGGCACAGCAGCAUUUAUUUCUAUUUUACAGAUGGAAGUCGAGUAGAGGUUUCACCGUCAUCUAAGACCAAAGCUGAGAGGAGCCCUAAUCUAUGUGAGUCUAGACUCAAGUCUUUCCUCUCAAUUCAGCAAGACUGUUCGUUUAUUGGUUGUUUACCCACUCAUUUAAAAUGCUUCUCAGAAUCUGCUGUAAUUGCUUCUCGGUCUUUUGCCUAAGAACCCAGAAUAAACCCAGAGCUACACAAAAUGCUAAAGAUGCUGAAGAGUCCAAGUCUUAAAAUGUCCCACCAGACUCCCUCAGAGCCUCUACGUCACAGAAGACAAUUGAAUGGCGAACCACCAAAGAGCAGACGCACAGGUUGCUACAUGCUGUGGGUUACGACUGGGAUGAAUAGGACACACCUAGUUAGGAAAGCCCUGGAGAAAGGGAUCUGAGAUCUGAAGGAGACUACAGCUCAACCAUCGGGCAACUGAGGACCAGCCCGGGCCCAUGAGAUGACUUAUGCAACAUCUUCAGACCAACCAGGAGUCGGCCGUAAUGAACUGAGCAGGACAAAGGGAUCAUAACACAGGCCUCAGGAGGUCUCUGGGCUACGAGGGAGAAAAUAUUGGCCCACCCGGCACCUUGCAUAGUCAGGCAGAUGGGCAAGCACUCUUAUGGUGAGAAAAGGUCUGGAGUAUUAUGGGAGAGAAACAGAAUAAUUCCUGUUCUGUGGAAGGAGGCAUAUCCGACGAGAUGAAAGAUGGGAGGUGUAGGCUGAGGUGGACUAUAGAGAUGCCUGGUCAGCACAGAAGAGCAGACCCUGUUUACAGGUGCAUGGGCGAGGAGGCAAGAAUAAGGGCAUGAGAGAUUGGCCCCGCCCCCAUCCUCCUUUGCCAUAUGGUGGCUUGGGCAGUGAAGCCAUCCCCUCUAUUCUGAGGCCAAUGUGAGAGCUGACCCUGAGGCCAUAAGAGUGGUGAGCUGCUCUUGCCCCUCUCCAACUGCAACACUCAGGAGAGCAGGCCCUGCAUCCUGCCCAGGCAGCGCAGUAGAGUGGACCCUGUUAGAGGAAUGGGUGAGCCAGUCCCGGAGUUUGAGUGUGUGAGAACUGUCUCAUUUAUCACGCUGCCCGGUGGCGUGGUAAGGGUAGAGCUGUUCUCCUUUACCACUUGUCCCUUGCAGCCUGUGACAGAAGAGGGAGCGAGUUGACCCUCCCUGCUUCCAGUGGCAGCACUCAGGAAAGUGAGUCCUGUCUCUCACCUGGGUGACACAGCAGAACUGACCCUGUUGGCCGAGGUGAGGAUGAACUGGCCCUGAGGGUCUGAGAGUGGGCUAGAUGGCCACACCCCCUAGUCUGCAGGGGGUGGUGAGGACUUGUGCCUGUCACCUGUGCUGAGAGAGGAAGCCAACCCUCCCCCUUAACAGCUGCAGCACUCAGGAAAGCAGGACCUGCAACUCGCCUGGGCGAUGUAGCAGUGUUGGCCCUACUAAUAGGAGUAGGGUGAACCCGACCAAGCUCGUGAGUGCCGGAGAUCUGGCCCCGCCCCUCUGCCAUGUGGUGUUUGGGGAGGGGAAAGAUUCCCUCCCCACUGCCCCUCACUGCCUGUGGUGUGAGAGGAGCUAUUCCUGAGGUUAUGAGAACAGGAGAGCUGUCUGGUCCCUCCUCAGCUGCCGCGUUUCCGAGUGACCCCUGCGCUCACCUGGACAGCACAGCAGAGCUGGCCCUCAUCGGCCAGGUGUGGCAGUGAAACCCUGAAGGUGUGAAAGCAGGAGAACUGGUUCCAGCCCUUGCUCGGUGCAGCGAGGAGUGAACUAGCCAGGGCAAAGCUGGAGAGCUCACCCUCUUAGUGAGGACGGCAGAGAGCUGGCUUACCGAUCAACAGUGCAACUACCCAGGCCCAGAACUAGGCCUAUGAGUUGAUCCUCUGCAACAUCCACCCCAUUUGUGAUCUGCUGGAGCACAUGAAGGGGCCAGUCCAGCAGACCCAAAACUGCGGGAUCUCCAUGACACUGGGCAACAACAGAAUAUCCAAGAGAAGUCUCAGUGAGGUCCCAGCAUCUAUAGUGUAGCAGAAACCAUUGGCCUCGAACCACAUCAAUGACUCUUUUCAGUGGAGCUUUCAAGGGCAGAUGGCAGAUACAAAAAGACGGAAAAUGAAUGGGAUCGAGGUGCAUGAUGUGAAAGGCACAAAGAAGAAAUAAAAAGAGAGUUUAAAAAAUAUGCUUUUCUUUUAGUGCAGUAUGUUUCAUAUCGUCUCUCCCUUGGUUCACACCAGCAACUGCUCUGCCCUGUGGGAACAACUUAUCAAGUACUUGAUGUUUCUUACUACAUGAUCAUAAAUAGGAAUGCGUACG